UACGAAGGGGGCUAGCGUUGCUCGGAAUUACUGGGCGUAAAGGGCGCGUAGGCGGGUCGUUAAGUUAGAGGUGAAAGCCCAGGGCUCAACCCUGGAAUUGCCUUUAAUACUGUCGACCUUGAGUAUGGCAGAGGUGUGUGGAACUCCGAGUGUAGAGGUGAAAUUCGUAGAUAUUCGGAAGAACACCAGUGGCGAAGGCGACACACUGGGCCAUUACUGA
rnacentral:rRNA from 1 species